CAGCAGCCGCGGUAAUACAGAGGGUGCAAGCGUUAAUCGGAAUUACUGGGCGUAAAGCGCGCGUAGGUGGUUUGUUAAGUUGAAUGUGAAAUCCCCGGGCUCAACCUGGGAACUGCAUCCAAAACUGGCAAGCUAGAGUAGGGCAGAGGGUGGUGGAAUUUCCUGUGUAGCGGUGAAAUGCGUAGAUAUAGGAAGGAACACCAGUGGCGAAGGCGACCACCUGGGCUCAUACUGACACUGAGGUGCGAAAGCGUGGGGAGCAAACAGGAUUAGAUACCCCGGUAGUCCCUGUCUCUUAUAC
rnacentral:rRNA from 1 species